ensembl:snRNA Gm22203 predicted gene, 22203
UAGAGAGCAAAGAGAGCUCUUUUGGAAUUUUUUUUAGCAGGAUUUCUGACUUUGCUCAGAAAACCCAA